CUCCUUCUUCAAUCUUCCCGGCGACUCCUCCUUCCCCACGAGUCCACGACCAGCGUCCAGCGGCGCUGCGGCGGUUUCCUUCAAGCCCGGUCGGCGUGAGAAUGAUGAUGAAGAUGGAAGCUCAGAGCUCACUCGUUACUUCGCAGAGAGGCAAUACAAGGCCAAUGAAGAUGAUGAUUUUGACAUUCUUAUGUGGUGGAAGACAUACGGUAUUUCCUAUCCUAUUCUAUCAGAGAUGGCUAAAGAUAUCCUUGCUAUUCCUAUAUCAAGCGUUGCUUCUGAGUCGGCAUUCAGCAUGGGGGGCGUGUGCUGUCGAUAUUUAGAAACUCUUUGGCACCGGAAAUGGUAGAAGCUUUGAUAUGCUCCGAGGAUUGGUUGAGGUCUAGUUCUAGUUCUGCCGAUUUCAUGGAAGAAGAAGGAGAACCAAUACCAUUUUUGAAAAACAAUACUAUGAAACGGUGGGGGCACUCCAUAAGGAUGGCAAAGUGAUGUGGCCAUUGGACGAUGCAGAAUCGGGAGAAUUGGAAAGAACUUAUUCAAGUGGUCAUGAUGAAAGUUAAAUUUAUCGUGCAUUUGUUUUGGAAUUUGAAAAUAUUGAACUUGGACUUUUUUUUUUGAAUAUUUGAACUUUGAUUGGUUGUUGAAUUGAGUAGGUUGUAUACUUUGAUUGAUUGACCUUGUUGUUUCGGAAGCUUUGAGAUUGGAGUUGUUUACUUUUAUAAAUAUUUCAAAUUUUGGAUUCAGCAGUUUGUAAACUUUUUUGUUUUGUUAAA